CCCAAGACAGCCCCGAACUUGGCAGGUGUUUCUGCCCCACGUGAGAGAAAUUGCACCAAGACCUUGCUUUCGAAGAACGACAUUGCAAACGCCGGGCAAAGGCACGCUCGCUCCGCGACAGCGCCCCAGAGGACCAGCCACAACGCUUUAAUCGAUGGCAUCCGGGCAGCGCGUCGCAUAGAUGUGCGUGAUCCAGAACGGAGAGGAUUACAGUGUCGUGGAAAACAAGCGCGUGAUUCAAAAAGAGCCAAAACAUCGCUUUUUUCCCUUUUCUUUUUCUUUUCCCCCCCCCCUUUUUUUAAGGAAGACCAUUCCAAGGAACUGGUUUUGGGCGAGGAACAUCUGGAUUGCAUGCAGCCGCGCUCUCUCCAACGCUGGGCGCAGGCUGUAGACAAACAACGUCUUGAAUUAGAUUUCAUGGGAAAUUAAAGGCAUGAAGAGACCUGUCACAAGAAUUAGAGCCUGAACCGGAGCCAGACAGCUUCAAACAGAUGUUGGACUUCAGCAGGAGAAUAUUUCUUUGUUUUCCUCAGCGUUUUCCCAUACAGAAAAGGAACAUCUGUUGCAAUGCUUUCGCCGGGCUCCUAAGCUGAGAUAGCCUUGGAUUAUCCCUUGCUGGAAGGAAAGCAACUGGCCACGAUGGCCCAGAAGAGCCCUCCUGGCUUGGCUCCUCUUGGAGAAGAGGGCAAGACCUGGUGCACAUUAGGUUUGCUCCGGCCUCCAAUGAACGUGUCAAUUUUAACUAUACUGUAAGCGUAACCGGGCCGGUUCUGGUAUCUCUACAUCCUUCAUGCUCGUAGCUAGGUGGAAAAGUUUCAUUCGAACUGGUUUUUGAUAGAAAAUCGAUUCCUUAGCAGAGUUUCUUCUCCUCCCACCUGUAGGUGCUUCAGUAAGAGGAAAAUUCUGAAGUUUUGUCUUUUUUGCUGAAAACAUGAAUAUUGGGCAUCAAGGAGUUGCAGUGAAGGAGUGUGAUGGCCCCUCUCCUCUUUUUCUGUCAAGCUCUAGCCUCCAUCUCUCACGAGGCGCUAACUUAUCCACAGUCCUGGGAGCCAAACUCAAGGCAGGCAGCACACCAGAGCAGUGCCUGGGCGUCCUGGCGAGCCCCCGAGCCCGAUUUCCCGGGGACGAGAACUCGCUUGUCAACCUGAUAACCAAAAAGCAACUUUGCAGCCUAAAAUUCCCCAUAUUUUGGGUUGCUCCCUUGGGAAAACAAGGCCUCCGCCGCUGUCCCACCUCGUUGUCCUGCUCUUGUCGGCUUUGACUCUCUAGGGCUCGUGAGACAACAGGGCAAAAGAACGAGAGCGAGGGUGAUGGUGGGUCCGCCGAAGGCUCGGCGGCGGAGGGAAAGGCGAGCGCGGCACUAGGCAGGGAGCAGCUUGUGCCAGGCUUGUCGCCGUUUCCACGUAGGCAAUCCCGAAAAUAGCAGGAGGAGGAGCAGGGCGGCACGGCCAAAAUUCAGAAUCGGCAGCUGCGGCCGUGGGAAAUACGCGGUCCUCUCCGCUCGCGCUGGAGCUAAAGGACGUUCACGAAGCGUCUGAUCUCGCCCGGCUGGGGCUACACCCGUUACAGGCCCGGCCCAUCCCGGGAGCACCUUGGCUUUAGAGACCCGGGGAGUUUUCGCCACUCGGGCACGCAUGCGGGAGCGGAAGGCGGGCCGGCACCCGCGUGCGCGCGGCUACGGACUCUGCCACCCGCCCGGCGGCACCCUCGUGCCAGGACCUGUCCAGCGGGUGCCAAAAUCGGGCGGUUUCAGAGCCCAGAAGAAGAUCUGCCAAGCCCGGGGCCGUAGCCAGCUCGCCGGGUGCUGCCUUGGAGCAAAGCACGCGCAGAGAGCGCCUUCCUCCUCGCAGUCGGGCGAUGUUUUCCUGACGACAACUUGCAGCUACUUCUCUUUUCCACGCCGGGAGCUGGCAAACAUUUUGUCGGGAGCUUGCUCCGAGCACCAGGAGCGUCCGGGAGCCAGCCCGGCGUUCUCCCCGCUUUCGGCCAGCGGGGUUACUCGUGUCACCUCCGGCAGCUAUGCCUAAUUGCAGCCACCUUGAUCAAGCGGCGCCUGCCCCCUCCUCCCCACGCCGCGCUGCCUGUUCGCUAAUUGAAACGCUUAACGAGCUCCCAGGGGUCUCCUGCCGCGAUGGAGCUAAUUAGGGGCCGCGCCACGAAGCCGGCGAACGAAACGAAGGCUUCCUCGACGCGGCCUUUCGCGAGGGGCCGGGGGGGGGAGGCUGUGCCAGAUGUCCCAGGUCCCCGCGCCGAGGCAAGGUGCAGACUCCCGCCCCGGCAGCUGGUGCAGAGGCAGCGGCCGCGCUUAAUACAUUUUAAUUAGCGUCAUUAAAUUCCUUCCAUUUGCUAA